rnacentral:lncRNA from 1 species
CUUAAACCUUGCUUUGCUUGUAAUUGUCUUUGUUUUGAUCUAUCAGGUACCAUCGAUGCAAUCUAGGAAGCUUUUCAAUGGUGAGAUGAAAGCAGCAGUCAUUUCCCCCAAGGAUAAUUUGGUUCCAAGUGAUGUUCCGAAGAAGCCUACAACUGAUAAAGAUAGCAUAAUGGCUGAUAAUGAAAGGCUUUUUUCUGUUCAUCUUGGUAAAAUUGAUCGAUUGUUGCAAUCAGCAGUACCAAGUCCUGGAGCUGGCCACUAGCUAGUUAGACUCAGUUGUCUCCCAACUGUAGUUGCCCUUCAAUACACAGUAUAAUAUACACGAAUUAGCUGCCGAAAACAUAUAUAGCUAGUGUACAUGUAAGGUUUGUCUUACUCUUAUGUUGUCACCUGCAAUAAUCCAAAACAUCUGCAAUUUUAAUUGAAAAGAAAGCUUAAAAAUGCUAAAUUGCAAUUAUAAAGUUAAUCAAUUUGUUCAUGAGAAGUAUGUUUGUCAUUGAAAUACGAUAAAUUAUCUUUGAUGGAAGAUUUUAGUUUCCACAACACCAAGUUCCGAAGAAACUGUUGAAGUCAAACCGACUUUAAGUCGGUAAAGCAUGGAAAUAAGAUUGGUUCUAAGUCGGUGUAGCGGUGGAGCUUAUAAAAAAUUGUUCGAGUAUGGCGGCAAAGUGAGCAUCUAAGUCCGUUAAUUUAGCCUAUAAAUGUAGUGCAUGUGCAGUGAGAAAUAGAAGUGUGUAAUGGAGAAAAAUAAAGUGUUUAUAUAUUUAUGUUGUUUUCUAGUAAGUUACUUCCUUGAGUAAUAAACUUAUUUUGGUUUCAGUGUUCACUAUGCAUCCAAUAAAUGGUAUAAAAGUUUAGUUUGUGGCCAUGUCAUGAUGACGAAAGUAAUUCAACUGCACAUUUUGAAAUUAAUGAAGAUAAGUUAUGAUAACUGGAGCUUCCAAAUAAAAGAUAUAUUUGGCUCUCACUCAAGAUUGCUGUAAUAUUAUAAAAAAAGAAUAUGUUGAGCCUGAAAAUGCAGCUGUUGAAGCGGUUUGAGAAGUGAAGAGAAAUGGGUAUUAAGGAAGCUCGUAAAAACGAUGACAAGGUUUCAAGGAGUUGACGACUUAACUUUUGAAAAAGAAAUUGGAUGCGAAAACAUCACAGGAAAUAUGGGGGUAUGUCUGCAAUCACUAAGAGCUGAAUUUGAGAGGUUGAAAAUGAGAAGUUCAAAAAAUAUUGAUGACUGUGUUAGCCGAUUGAUGGGGUAUUGAAAAAAUUCCAAUAAAAGUCCCAUUUUUUUUACAAAGUUUACAAACAGAUAUCUAAUAUGUUUCUAACAGCUUGGGACAGAUGGUAGACUGUCGGUGGCCACCCACUUUCACCCUAAAUCCUAAACCUGCAGAUAUAUUAAUUAAAAUUAUGCCAACUAUAUUUGAUUUUGUAAGUUCAAAGAAUGAAGAAUAGGUAAAAAUAUGUUGGAAAUAUGAGGCUCCCAACAAAAAUGCGAUUCUUGGAAAAUGUCAUAUUAAUAUAAAACCUCGAAUCACCCUGGUUAACACAGACAAAUAGAUGUGGUAAUCCAUGCCCAAAGUGCUGGGUCUUAUAAAGCAUAGAAAUGGUCUUUCACCUUCAUAGACAGCUUGGAGUUGCAAAUUGAAAGCUAGAUGCCAGAAAAGUUAAAUGAAGCUUAAUUUGUUAGUUGUUUUUGGAGUAAAAAUAACAUGAAGGUCUUUGUUUUGUCCCAUUUAUUUAAAAAAUAGAUAAAUUGAUCUUUAAACAUUAGAUUAAAUAGUAAAUUAGAGAUUUUUGUUAAAAUUUUUAUCUAUUUAUAUUGUUAAAAACUAGCAUAACUAAUGAAAUUACUAACUAAUGACAUAUAGCAUGCUAGCGUACCUCAUGCUAAAAUGCAUAAAUCAUUUUUUAACAGUAGAAAUAGAUGAAAUUUUUAAACGAAUGAUCAAUUUACUUUUUGAUUUAACAUAUUUGAAUUAAUUUACUCAAAUAAAGAGUGAGCAAAAUACAAUCUACCUAGUAUAGGAGCGUAUAUAAUACUGUUAUUUUUAGUCACAGAUAUCCGUAGACAUUGCAUGAAUACUAUUGGAUCAAGCCGGCUAAGUAAUCAAUAAAUGCCCACCAUUAUAAAUUCCAUGAAUCUCUUAUUUCAUUCCAAACAUGUAAUACUUGACUUAGCCAACACGUUCUUCAUUGAUAUAAGUGAGUUCAAUUGUAAAUAGAGGUCUUCCACAUCUUCAUUGAUAUCGUUCACUAUUGACUAAUUAACAUAUUGAGAGUAUUAGCUCAAAAACAUUUUUUUGAGUUUUCUUAUUUUUUUACUUGUUUUGUUUAGUCGCAGUUUCAAUGUCUUAAUUCAAACUUUGAGGAACUUAAACAAAUUUGAAGCAAAUUCUUCAUCUAAAGUCACACAAUUUACUUGGUUAAAGUUUAACUCCGUAACACAAUGAUGAAUCAGGCUCAAACUCAUGAAACUUUGAAAGUUGUGAAUUAAACUCUUCACUAUUUAAUUUUAUUUAUUUAUUUUAUCUUAAUUAAAAGUUAAUAAAUUGACCAUAAUAGCUUCCAUAUAUAAUAUAUUACAUUCGAUUAUAUAAAUGUAUAUUUUAUAAAAUGUAAAAUAUGAAGUAUUAGAUAUAAAUAAAUAAUUGGUUUUUUUGACAUUUUUUAUUAAUGAAAACUUAACGAUUUAAACAUAAAUUAAUUCAAUAUAAAAUUCAAUAAUGUAUUUAUUAUAUAAAUUCAUUAAAAAAAUUCCUUUAAUAAAAUCAUAAUUUUUAUUUAUAAGUAUAAAUAUGAUAAAUCAAAAUAUCAAUAGUUCCAAAUUCAAUAAUAUAAUAAAUAAAAAAGAUUAUAUUAAUUAGUUCAAAAAAGUUGUUUAACCCAUACUCCUAUAUAUGUACUAUAGAUUAUAGAAAAUCAACCUUUAGCAUACAUAUUAGUCUUCUUUCAUAAUUGUCACGGUUGAAAGACUCGAGAUUGCACAAUAAAGUCUAGUCGCCUGGCCCGGACCCAAACAAGGGGUAAGAAGAAGAUUCAUGGAAAAGUUGGGCAAGCAAGACAUGUUGAAUCACCGUAUUAAAGACACGUUUUCAACAAGACCCGCAUCUUAAAGGAAAAGUGAUAGCUACUGGUUUUAAAUCCUUGCGAGAAUUUACAAACGAAAAAUAGCGAGAACACAAUACAAACACAUUAUUCUUUUCUUUUAAUAUUUAAUCCCAUAGAAUGAAUUAAAACGUAUAAAAAAUAUAUAAUUAUUAUAAAAUAAUCAUUAUACACAAGAAAGUGAAAGACUGAUUGUACCAUAUCAAUAAAUGGGUAAGACAAGAAUGCUGAUGGAAAGUUUGAGCAGCCAUUUUUGAAUUAAGAAAUGGGCAAAAAGUCAUGAAAGUUAAUAUGAAAGGACCCCUCUCAUCUAUUCUUGUAAAGGAAAUGUGAUAUAGCUAUGUAUGUUGUACUAUUGCUUAUAGAUUUAAAUUUUAGUCUAAUAAUUAGGUUUCUCUCAAGUUAAUUAGACUGUUACACUUAAGUGCCAGAAUACGUAAAUUUUAUUGUUAUUCAAUUAAUUACAACUUUGAGCUUUGUUAGAUAAAUUUUUAAAGUGAUUAGAUCACUUUCGUAGAAAUUGCUUUAUUUGUUGGCAUGUUUGAUAAAAAAAUAUUGAUUAUUUGCUUGCAUCUUUUUGAGGAUAUCAUACAAUUAAUUUCAUGUUUAUUAGUGAAGAAGAGAUUGAAUCAAGCAAGAUUACUUUCCAAGGAUUUUUAUAUAAUUUACUCACCUUAUAUAUUAAGAUAUGCAAUCUAAAAAGAUGUAGACUGGUUUUAUGAUCUUUUUGUAUCCUUAUAUUAAGGAUAAUUGAUGUAAUGAGAUUUGGGUAGGUAAUUUGGAUUAAAGAUUGUUUUGUGAAGAUGGAUUCGUGCUUUAAAUAUGGAAAACUUGAUCAAUCAUGGUAAAAGUUUUAUAGUUGGGGCAAGUGUUUUUGAAGUGGCUGCCAAAGUGCUAGUGGAAGUGGCCACUUCGCCAAGCACUUUGAUAGAUAUGUACUUGCCUUAUUUAGAAUUGAAAAUCUUUUAGAUGUUAUUUUUAUUGUUUCACUACUACCAAUUGCUUGUUUUAGUUUAAAAUGUCACACUGAAGACUUUAAUAGAAAAGAAUUAAUUGUGAUAAAUUUGAAAAAAUAGUGGCACUAAAUGCUUAAAAAUAAAAAUAAGACUAAAUUUAAAAUGUACAAAGUAUAAGGACUUAGAGCAUGUUUUAACUUUCAAAUUAUAAUUCUAUAAUUUGAUACAAACAAAUAAUCACUUUAAUAUAAAAGGAAUGUCUAAAGUGCGUCCUUUAUGGACACAUGAAUGCAGCGUGUUGUUUUCUUCUUUUUCUUUAAAUUAUAAAAAAUAAAUAAAUUUUAGUUUUUGUCUUUGAGAUAUAAUCCUUAUACUUUAAUUUUUAACAUAAUUUUGUCUCUAUAUUUUAUAAUAUUAUUAAUUAGUCAAAAUAGUUAAUAAUAUUAAUUUUUAAUUAAAAUAUUAUUUAAUUAUAUAAUUUAAAAAUAAAAUUUUAAAUCGAAAAAGUAAAUAAAUUAAAUUAUUUAAAAUAAAAAUAAAAAGACUAAAUUCUAAAUUAAAAUAUAUAAUCAGUGUGAAUGAAAUACACUAGUAUUUAUAAAUUUAGUGUGGUCAUACUGUUAACAAUCAAUAGAUAGUGUGAACAGUCAAUUAACAAGGGACUUCCACGGCAAUGCGUGGGUCCAUUCUAGUGUAUAUAAAGAAUGGAUUAUCUAGCUUGACAAACUUCUUCUCAUUAACUCAACACCAAAACUCAAAUGGGGAAAACUUUCCUCAACUUAGCUCUUCUUAUCAUCUUCCAUUUUUUUUUUAUUAUGGCUACUUCCUCUAUGAAAUUAACCACCAUAGUUACCGACCAAUUGGCUCUUCUUGCAUUAAAAGAACAUGUUAUUCACGACCCCGAAAAUGUCUUGACCACUAACUGGUCAGCUUCUACCCAUGUUUGCAAUUGGUUUGGUGUCAGUUGCGGAUCCAAGCACCGCAGAGUCGUAGCUCUAAACAUUACUGGGUUGGGACUCGUAGGAACCCUUCCUCCCCACUUAGGAAAUUUAUCAUUCCUUUCUCUUCUUUCCAUUUCAGAUAAUAGUUUUGACGGUGAAUUACCUGUCCAGUUAUCCAAUUUGCGACGGUUGAAGCAUAUAAACUUUCGUAACAACAACCUUAGUGGAGAAAUCCCAUCAUGGUUGGGAUCAUUACCUGAACUUCAAAGGUUGUUUCUGUAUCAUAACCACUUCAAGGGUGUUAUUCCAUUCUCUUUAGGUAAUUUGUCAAAGCUAGAGAUGUUGGACUUGUUCCAAAACCAGCUUUCAGGUUCAAUACCCUCCUCCAUCUUCAAUAUAUCUUCGUUGCAGAAAAUAAAUCUAAGAAACAAUUAUCUCUUUGGCUCCAUACCUUCUGUUUCGCACGAUAUUCUUUCCUUAGAACUCAUAGAUUUCACCUUCAAUAAUCUCACUGGCCAUUUUCCAAGUGAUAUGUUUGAUCAUCUUCCGAAUUUGAAAAAGCUGAGCUUGAGUGAUAACAUGCUUUCUGGCAAAAUUCCAGCUAGUUUAUGCAAGUGCAAAGAGUUAGAAAUUUUAUCGUUAUCAUAUAAUCAAUUGGGGGGAAGCCUACCGGUAGAAAUUGGGAACCUGAGUAUGCUUCGAAUCCUCUUUAUUGGUCGGAACCACUUUGAAGGUGAUGUAUACUAAAUUUUUUAAGCCACCAAAGUGUUUAUUUUGUUAUUAUUUUAUUUUAAAGGCUGUUUAUUUUAUUCAGGAAGAAAAUUGUUAAGAGAUAUUUUCUUAUCCCUCUCAAAAUUCUAUUCCCAGCCUUAAUUCCUAUAGUAAUGAAGUGUGCAGUAUGACACCUAAUAGGAUGGGGAAUAUCUUAUUCAAUUUAUUGCAAACCGAUAAUUCUGAAUUUGUGUGAAUUUGAUCAUUGCAGGUGAAAUUCCACAACAAAUUGGGAAUCUAACUCUUCUUAUGGUGCUUGAUACUGCCGACAAUAACUUAACAGGUGAAUGAGUAAAACGUAGUUUACAAUCAAAUUAUUAUAUUUAAUUUAUAACUUUCUAAAAUAAUAUUAGCUUCUAAUUUAUAUUAGUAUGUGAUUUUAUACAUACAAUAUAGUUUGACUUUAUGUAGUUAAUGCAGAGUAAUAUUAAUUAACAUAAUUAAUCCUUGUAUAUUAAUUAAGUGAGCUUAAAAUUCUAUUAAGUAAUAACUUUAUUUUACAUGAAUAAAAUUAACACAACUUUAUUUUUUUAUACUAAUUAUUAUAAUUUAAAUUAUAAUUAUCACAACUUUAUUUUUUCUAUAUUUAAAUGUUUAGAGUUUUACUUAAGUAAUAACUCUAUUUUAAAAUUAGCAUAACUUUUUUAACUAAUAAAUGUAAAUUAAAUUAUAAUAUUUUAAAAUGUGUAUUAAUUAUCUCAACUUCUAUUUUUAAACAUAUAAUUCUUGCGGGUUCAAAUUUUUUUUUAAAUUCACACUUUUAUAUAUAUUAUAGAUUAUAGAUAAAUUUAGCCUUAUGUUUUUUGAUAAGUUCAUAAUCAUUAGAAAAAGUAAUUUUUUUGAAUUAAGAUAUUGUCUACCUAUACUUUACUAUUUAUAAAAUUUAACUUUUUUUAGGGUUUAUAGCCUCCUAUUUCCAAUAAUGUCUUUUUCAAAUUAAGUUUAAACUUGAAUUUUGUCUUUAAAAUUAUAAUAUGUAUUGCCACUGCCCUAGAUAACAAAAAAAUACGAUUGAAUUAAUUUUAUUGAACCCUAAAAAGAAACAACUAUAUAUUAUUUAUUUUUUAAAUAAACUAUAUAUUGAUUUGGCCAGUUUAUUCUUUAUGAAUUCAUUUAUCAUUAUUUUCUACAUUUUGAAUUUCUUUCAACUUUAAAGUUAAACAUUUUAGUUUAAAAUUAAGGCUUUGUUCAUGAUUUAGACCCUGAAUUUUACUCAUUUUUCAUUUUGGUACAUAAAUUUUAUAUCCCAUUUUGAUGCCUAAAUUAUACAUCUAUUAUAUUUUUUCAAACAUUGACCGGUGACGUGACCAUUGGUUGGACAUUAGUCAAUAAUCACGACUAAAAUGAACUUCAACAAACUGACACGAUUUGGAAUUUUUGAGAUUUCAACUUAGAUUUUGCUCUAGAUCGAUUUAUUUUGUUGAGCUAUCUAGAUAUUCUGAUUUGUCAAUUUAAGUUGUCCAUUAAUUUUGUUGAAUUAUCUUAAUAAAAAUAUGCAAUUAUUAUUAGUAAACUAAUCGUGUAAAUUACGAGUUGCUUGUUACGUUGUUUAUAUCGUGAAACAAAUAGAAAUGUACUGUUUUUAUUUAUGCAUGUACGAUUUUAUAAUUUUAUAUAGUGAAACAAUAACUUUUUAUGAUUUCAUAAUUUUUAUCAUUUUAAUAAUUAUUAAUACAUUUUUAUAAAUUUUAAUAAUUUAUUAUUAUUACAAUUUUAAAUAUUUUUUACAACUUUUUAUGAUUUUUAUAUUAGUCUCAAUCAUAUGCAAAAUGUAUUUGGACAACUAGUUGCCUAGAUUUCAAUAAACCUGGAUGUUCAUUUGCCCAAAUUCAUUAUGGAUUUGCUUUUUAGUUAUUUUUAUUAAUUUUUAGGAUUUUUAAAAUUUUUAUAUAGUUUUUUAUAUUUUUAUAGAUUUGAUAAUUUCUAUAAUUUUUAAAAUAUUCUAAAUCACAUCGAGAAUAAAUUUUAAAAAAUGAUUGUCAAGAUUCAAUUGAACAUGAAUACUCAUUUGUCUAGGUUCAUUCGAGCUGUUAAUGCUAAUCAAUGGUGAUGCCAUCAAUUAAUAAUGUUGGACAUGUGGUGUGUUCGCAUUGGUUGGAUGUACUAUUUUUUUAACAGUAAUAACUUUUUCGACAAAAAAAACCAUAGGAGAGCAAUAGCUUGAGUAUCAAAAUAAGACAAAAACUUUGAAGUAUCAAAGUGAAAAAACAUAUGUAGUUUAGGGUGAAAUCAUAACAAAGCCUAAUAUUAAUUACUUAAAUAUUUUAUUUUUUGUAAAAAAAGUUUUAUUGGGUUUAUAUAUAUUUUUUCAUUAUUUCAGGUUACAAUAUAUUUUAUACAUGUUAGUGAUUUUAGUUUUAAAAAACUAAAUAAAUUAUGUCUUAGAAUAUUCUAGUUCACUGAGAUCUUACUUGUGAAUCAAAUAUAAACCCUUUUAUGUUCUCAUAUUUGUUUGAUAAAUUUAUGGCAGGUAUAAUACCACAUCAGAUUGGUAACCUAAAGCACCUAGAACUCUUGAAUUUGGGAUUUAACAAUAUUGUUGGUUCUAUUCCUCCUGCAAUAUUUAAUUCCACAUUGUCGAGCAUUUCUUUGGAGUUAAAUCAUCUUUCUGGCCAUCUUCCGUCAGACAUGGGCCUUUGGCUUCCAAACUUGGAAAAUUUGUAUCUUGGAGUGAAUCAACUCCAUGGUUCAUUCUCAAAGUCUAUUUGCAAUGCCUCUCAGCUAACUCAACUUGACGUGUCACAAAAUUACUUUUCAGGGUCCAUUCCUGACAAUUUGGGAAAUCUAAGAAAUUUAAAGGUUCUUGACUUGCAGGAUAAUAAUUUAACUUCCUUAGGAUUGAGCUUUCUUUCUUCUUUGACCAACUGUAGAGGCUUGGAAUACCUGAUUUUCGGUGAAAACCAAUUGCUUAGUGGUCAACUUCCAGGUUUGGUAGGGAAUCUCUCACGUUCUCUUCGGAGGUUCGAUGCUUCUUUUUGCAACAUCAGCGGUAGCAUCCCGAGUGAAAUUGGCAACUUAAGCAGCUUGAUAUCCAUCGUUCUAUUCGACAGUAAAUUGACUGGAACUAUACCUACUACAGUUGGAGGAUUGAAAGAGCUGCAAAGUCUUUCUCUUGAAAACAACAAGUUAGAAGGAUCCAUUCCAUUUGAAUUAUGUCAUCUAAACAAGUUGGCUUUCUUGUUCUUGACGAAUAACAAAUUGUCUGGACCAAUACCUGCUUGCUUGGGUAAUCUCAUUUCUUUAAGGAACCUAUUUCUAGGCUCCAAUAUGUUUUCUUCCUCAAUACCUUCAAGCUGGACAGGGCUUAACGAUCUGCUCAUCUUGAACUUGUCUUAUAAUUCUCUAAGUGGUCCACUACCAAUUGACAUGGGAAAGUGGAAGGUUUUAACUAGUAUGGAUUUGUCAAAUAAUCAAUUCUCAAGUAAUAUUCCAACCGGGGUUGCAAAUCUUAAAGAUCUCACUCAUUUUUCCUUAUCCAACAAUAGAAUCACAGGUUCUAUUCCCGAGUCAUUUGGUGACUUGUUGAGUUUGGAGUUCUUGGACUUGUCAAGAAAUAAUCUUUCCGGUGAGAUUCCCAAGUCUUUAGAGAACCUUCGUUUUCUCAAAUAUUUCAAUGUCUCUUUCAAUAGACUUCAAGGAGAAAUUCCUAAAGGAGGACCAUUUGGAAACUACUCAAUCGAGUCGUUUAAAGGGAACGAAGCAUUGUGUGGUGCAGCUCAACUUCAUGUUCCAUGUUCGAAAACUAGACCUCUUAGAAAUUCCAAGGUGAGAACAAAGCUUAUAAUAUCUGUAGCACUGCCAAUUGCCUCUGCAAUAUUGGUGCUUGCUUUAAUUAUCAUUAUCUUGCGAAGAAGGAAGAGAAAAGACAGAUCGACAACUCAAGAAGACUCGACACCUUUAGGAACGUGGAGACGAAUUUCAUACCACGAGCUUCAUCAAGCUACAGAUGGAUUCAGUGGUAGGAGGUUGCUUGGUAAUGGGAGCUAUGGUUCUGUAUAUCAAGGGACACUGUUAGAUGGGAUGGAAUUUGCAGUAAAGGUAUUCAAGUUAGAGUUAGAAGGAGCUUUUAAGAGUUUUGAUGUUGAAUGUGAAGUUCUUCGCAACAUUCGUCACCGAAACUUAAUCAAAAUCAUUAGUAGUUGCUCUAAUGAUCUUGAUUUCAAAGCUUUAGUGCUUGAGUUCAUGUCUAACGGGAGUCUUGAUAAAUGGUUGUAUUCCAACAAUCAUUCUCUGGACAUCCUACAGAGGUUGAACAUUAUGAUAGAUGUUGCAUCUGCAUUGGAAUAUCUCCAUCAUGGUAAUGCAACACCCGUGGUUCACUGCGAUUUAAAACCUAGCAAUGUUCUAUUAGAUGAAGAUAUGGUUGCACAUUUGAGUGAUUUUGGCAUCGCAAAACUCUUAAGUGAAGAGGACUCAAUGAUACAAACCAUGACCAUGGCAACAAUAGGAUACAUGGCACCAGGUGAUACUUUUAGUUACAACUUUUUCUUUUCCUUCACAAUUAAUGCCAGUGUAGCAUGUGGAUAAAAGAAGGGAUCAUAUGCAUUAAGCUUUGAUUUCCAAACCUAUUAAAUGACGCCUUUAAAGGAAGAAAAUAGAUUAAAUUCAAUUUUUUAUAGCAUUCAUGCAUAACUUUUUGGAUUUUUUUUAUUAUUGAUAGUGUUCUUUUAAAUUCAUACACAGAAUACGGAAUUGAAGGAAUUGUUUCGACAAAAGGUGAUGUGUAUAGUUUUGGUAUUCUUAUGAUGGAAACCAUCACAAGAAAAAAGCCCACAAAUGAAAUGUUCGAAGGAGAAACAAGUUUGAGGAGUUGGGUGGAAGAGUCACUAUCAUCUUCGCUAAAUCAAGUUUUAGAUACCAACUUGCAGAGCAGUAUUGGGAGGAAACGUUCAGCAACCGACAAUUGUGCCUUAUCCAUUUUGCUAGUUGGGCUGGAAUGUUCAGUAGAGGCUCCAGAUGAGAGGCUUGAUAUGAAAGAGACAGUUACGAAAUUAAAGAAGAUCAAAGUGAGGUUAUUAAAGGACAUUGGACGGGUUCGUUGAAGAGGCAGUUACUAAAAAUAAACUUCAUUUAAUAAAGCCUGUAGAGCAUGCAAGUCUAAAUGUGUAAUUUACCUAGUCGACGCAAUUUAGAUAAGGUUAUAACUUAGUCCUUAGAUAGGUUUUAUUCAAUACUCAAUUUAGAAAAGCGAUAUAUUUUGGAUUAGUACAAAGACAUGAAAAUUUUAUUUAAAAACAUAAAAUCAAACACUAAUACAAUAUGAAUACCCAAACAUAUCAAAAGCUAGGAUUGGAUUUUUUAUUCCGCAAAUGCAUUUUUAUUUUUUAAGUAUUUAUUUUAUAGUAUUUUACUAUACUUAUAUAAAACAUUUAUCAACCAUCUAACCUUAUUUGUCGAGUCUAAAACCUCCAAAAUUACUAAAUAUUUUCCCUCAAUCAAAAUAUUAACUUCUAAAAAUUUAUAUAAUACAUCACAAAUCCAUUAAAGGAUGCAAGUUAAUAUAGUUAUCUUUAAUAUUAACUUCUAUGGUAAAAUCUUGUAUCCAUUUUUAUAAAAAUCAAAAUAAAUUAUUUUAGAUUUUAGAAACUUUCAACAUUUAAAAAUAUGUAAAAAUUCAUUAACUUUAUUUGAAAUUUUAGAAAUUUACAAAAAAAUAAAAAUAAAAUUACCGAGAUGUCAUCCAUAGAUUGAAAUUCGUUGCCAGUCAAAAUUAAUCAAUGAUGGUUCAAAUUUUUUUAACCAAAUUGACCAAUAACGAAUUUUGAUCAUCAAAUUAAAUAAAUUCUAGUUAAAGUUGAUGAAAGCGGAUAAUUUUUUAAGUUUUUAUAUAUUUUUAUUUUUCUAAGUUUGAAUAAAUUUUAUCUAAAUUUUUUAAAUUCUGAAUUAUAUAUUUUUUAUUUUUUAUUUUUAUAAAAUUUCAAAUAGUUUUUCAAAAUUUUAAAUAUUUUUUUAUAAAAAUUUUAUUUUUAUAAUUCUUGAUUUUUAUAUAUUUUUUUUCAAGUUUUUAAUGUGCUUGCUAACAUAGUAGAUGCAUUCAACUAUGACAUUACAUGUGCAAAAACCUAAUUGAUCCAAGUCAUAUCAAUUUAAUAGUGUUACAAAAAUGGAUUUGAACGUACAAAACUUAAAUUCCAGUUACCAAUUUGAAAAAAAUAUUUGGCACCAAUUUAAACAUUAAAAUUAAAUUUAUUUAUUAAAAAAAUUAUAUUUACUCUAUCUCUACAAUUUUACAAUACAGAACUUAAAAAAAAAACAUAACAAUUUAUUUGACCUUCUAAUUUUUUUAAAAAUUAAUUAAUUACUAACAUGACAAUCUAUAUGUAUACUGCAUCAGUAAAGUUAAUAUUAAAAAUUAAAUUUUUUAUCUAUAUUGAGUUAAUUUGAUAAAUAUAUAAAUUUAAGGGUUAAAGAACGAAAUAUUAAAUAAAUAGCUAAAAUAAUUUUUUUUUAUUGAAGAGUGAAAUAAAUCGUUGUACUUAAAAAAAUCAAAAUGAUAGAAAUUUUAGCAAAGUUAAAAAGGGCAUUGAAUCAUGAAUUUGUAUAUAAGGAUACCCAUCGCCAUGUAAUUGAUUCUUCAUAUAUAUAUUGAGUGUUUGGAAGAACAAAAGGCUAAAUUAAUUGCAGAAUUAGCUAAUAGAAAAAUGUUAGUUCUUUGGGUUUUAACUCAAUGAUUGGUGCAUAAUUUUUUACUCUUUUUGAGCAAGAACCCGAACUUCCCCCCUUCACCUAAAUUACCAAAAGAAAGAAAAAAGUUAGGUCUUUCAUCGUAAAUCAUAUAUGAAAUGUAAAUAUGACAGCCAAAAACUUGGCUUUUACUACCUUUAUUUGAUCAUUGAAUUAUAUGAAGAAACAGAAAAUUUUUAACGUUUUCUCCAGCUAAAGGAAAAAAUACAAAAAUGAUCUUUGACCUUCGUGCACAACUUGAACCUGAAAUAUUUACCAAAAGAAGUAAACAAAAUUCUUGGCAUUACAAAGGAAUUAUAAAACAAAAUGCCGGUCGAAAUGCUGCAGUUGAGUUGUAUCAACCCCAAGUUCCAUGGUAUCUCAACAAAAAUCUUUUAAAACCAGCCUAAAUUUUUAAGUACUUAUUUGUUCUAAGUAUGAUAUGACUUAGCCAACAUGACGUGAAGCAAUCUAUCACUGAAUUCAUCUAUAUAUAUAUGUACCUCGAAAUCUAACUGAUACUACACACUAUCUAAAGCCUUCAAAACCAAGAGAUAGAGGUUACUUGGGAUCCCAAUAAUGGCUCGCUUAAACCUUGCUUUGCUUGUAAUUGUCUUUGUUUUGAUCUAUCAGGUACCAUCGAUGCAAUCUAGGAAGCUUUUCAAUGGUGAGAUGAAAGCAGCAGUCAUUUCACCCAAGGAUAAUUUGGUUCCAAGUGAUGUUCCCAAGAAGCCUACAACUGAUAAAGAUAGCAUAAUGGCUGAUAAUGAAAGGCUUUUUUCUGUUCAUCUUGGUAAAAUUGAUCGAUUGUUGCAAUCAGCAAUACCAAGUCCUGGAGCUGGCCACUAGCUAGCUAGACUCAGUUGUCUCCCAACUGUAGUUCAGUAUAAUAUAUACGAAUUAGCUGCCGAAAAUAUAUAUAACUAGUGUACAUGUAAGGUUUGUCUCUUAUGUUGUUACCUGCAAUAAUCCAAAAUAUCUGCAACUUUAAUUGAAAAGAAUGCUAAAUUGCAAUGAUAAAGCUAAUCAAUUUGUUCAUGAGAAGUAUGUUUAUCAUUGAAAUACAAUAAAUUAUCUUUGAUGGAAGAUUUUAGUUUCCACAACACCAAGUUCCGAAGAAACUGUUGAAGUCAAACCGACUUUAAGUCGGUAAAGCAUGGAAAGAAGAUUGGUUCUAAGUCGGUGUAGCGGUGGAGCUUAUAAAAAAUUGUUCGAGUAUGGCGGUAAAGUGAGCAUCUAAGUCCGUUAAUUUAGGCUAUAAAUGUAGUGCAUGUGCAGUGAGAAAUAGAAGUGGGUAAUGGAGAAAAAGAACGUGUUUAUAUAUUUAUGUUGUUUUCUAGU